AUGGUUUCUGCCGAGGGACGUCAAGUUGAUGAAAAUGUCAAGAAGAUCAUUGAAUUGAAAUAUAAGGUUCGCUCAGGAAGUUACAAUAAUUUUGUGGUGAUCAACCAGAAAAGCAUUGGUCUUCCAUCCAUCAAUCUCCUAGCUAGAGUAGGGGUUCUGCAAAUUUUAUUCAUAGAUCAGGAAAUUCUAAUCUGUGACUUGGUAAAUCUCAGUAGUAUAUGCAAGCUGAUGGUUGUUGAUAAUGAACAACCACAUCUCAAAGGUGCUUGCUGUAUUAAUAUGUAG
rnacentral:rRNA from 1 species